UACAGAGGUCUCAAGCGUUGUUCGGAUUCAUUGGGCGUAAAGGGUGCGUAGGCGGCGCGGUAAGUCGGGUGUGAAAUCUCGGAGCUUAACUCCGAAACUGCAUUCGAUACUGCCGUGCUUGAGGACUGGAGAGGAGACUGGAAUUUACGGUGUAGCGGUGAAAUGCGUAGAUAUCGUAAGGAAGACCAGUGGCGAAGGCGGGUCUCUGGACAGUUCCUGACGCUGAGGCACGAAGGCCGGGGAGCAAACGGGG
rnacentral:rRNA from 1 species